UAUUAAUCCUAACUUCUAUGUUGUUUUCUUUCAUGGUGAUUUGCAGGACUGGAUGCAUUGGAACUUUAACAAUACUGCUUCUCAGUAUCAAUACAAACACUGGUGUUGGCACAAGAUAUUUAAAGAUAUGUUUGGCAUUGCCUUUGUAAGAGGUUACUAAUGGGGACAGAACUGAAGAGAAUCAUGUAUUCGACAAGAUAACUAGGAGUUUUCAUCAGCUCCACAAGCUAAGUCAUUCACUGAAUAUGGAGAAAGGCAUUGAGAAACAGAAUGGUCCUUUUGUCGAAGAUGAUGGAUCAACCAUGGACGGUAUGAUAACAGUUCAGAGGAAGACUCUGAUUCUAAGCG